AGCGAACGCUGGCGGCAGGCCUAACACAUGCAAGCGACGAAGUGGCGGAAGGGUGAGUAACACGUGGGAACGUGCCUUUAGGUUCGGAAUACCUCAGGGAAACUUGUGCUAAUACCGAAUGCCUGUAGAGGGGCCCGCGUCUGAUUAGCUAGUUGGUGAGGUAAAGGCUGACCAAGGCGACGAUCAGUAGCUGGUUUGAGAGGAUGACCCGACACUUUGGGACUGAGACACGGCCCAAACUCCUACGGAAGGAAGCAGUGGGGAAUCUUGCGCUAUGGGCGAAAGCCUGACGCAGCCAGGCCGCGUGAAUGAUGAAGGUCUUAGGAUUGUAAAAGUCUUUCACCGGGGACGCGGUACCCGGAGAAGAAGCCCCGGCUAACUUCGUGCCAGCAGCCGCGGUAAUUC
rnacentral:rRNA from 1 species